rnacentral:rRNA from 1 species
UACGUAGGGGGCGAGCGUUGUCCGGAUUUAUUGGGCGUAAAGAGCUCGUAGGCGGUUUGGCAAGUCGGGUGUGAAAACUCCGGGCUCAACUCGGAGACGCCACUCGAUACUGCCAUGACUUGAGUCCGGUAGGGGAGUGCGGAAUUCCUGGUGUAGCGGUGAAAUGCGCAGAUAUCAGGAGGAACACCGAUGGCGAAGGCAGCCCCCUGGGCUGACACUGACGCUCAUGCACGAAAGCGUGGGGAGCAAACAGG